UACGGGGGGGGGCAAGCGUUGUUCGGAAUUACUGGGCGUAAAGGGCUCGUAGGCGCCCUCUCAGUCGGAUGUGAAAUCCCCAGGCUUAACCUGGGAACGGCAUCCGAUACUGGAGGGCUUGAAUUCGGGAGAGGGAUGCAGAAUUCCAGGUGUAGCGGUGAAAUGCGUAGAUAUCUGGAGGAAUACCGGUGGCGAAGGCGGCAUCCUGGACCAACACUGACACUGAGGAGCGAAAGCCAGGGGAGCAAACGGG
rnacentral:rRNA from 1 species